GCACUUAUUUUGGCAGCACAUAUAUUAAAAUUGGAACAAUAUAGAGAUUCGCAUUGCCCCUGCACAAGGAUGACAUGCAAAUUCAUGAAGUAUUUGAUAUUUUU